CCUACGGGAGGCAGCAGUGGGGAAUCUUGCACAAUGGGCGCAAGCCUGAUGCAGCCAUGCCGCGUGUAUGAAGAAGGCCUUCGGGUUGUAAAGUACUUUCAGCGGGGAGGAAGGGAGUAAAGUUAAUACCUUUGCUCAUUGACGUUACCCGCAGAAGAAGCACCGGCUAACUCCGUGCCAGCAGCCGCGGUAAU
rnacentral:rRNA from 1 species